AUUGUUUUUGAACAGCCAGAAGUUGGUGGACUCGAGGCCCAACUCCUCUUGAGUCCCAUCAAACCCGGAGAAGACCAAGAACGAUCCUCUGCCAUGUUUCAUCAUGUUCAGCCUUUCCUGAAUACCUACAGUAAAGGGGGAAGAAGUUUCUGGAAGGUGGUGAAGACGCCACAGUUUGAAACAACCACAGGAGCAUGAACCUCCAAUUCCUCCUGACCUUUCCUCACUUUCACACCUGUCACAUAAGACAAAAAGGAAGUCCUUUACUUGUGCAUGUCCUCGUAAAAAGGUGUGGCAGCAGCCUCCAGCCUGGUCAUGUUGCUCCAGCAGCAGGACUCUCUUCCCUGCUUUGGCCAGUGUCGCUGCAGCUGUCAGACCACCGAUACCGCUCCCGAUGACAAUCACAUCCAGGUUCUGGGGCACUUUGUCAAGGCUGAAACCUGGACAGAAGCAGACCAAGAUGAUAUAAUCACGGUAACAAUUACAUGUCUAGAAAAGAUAAACAUUAAUUGAAAAUGUAACAUCAACUGCUAAAGUGUGUUGCGUAAUAGUCUGAAAGUUGCUCUGCACACCUUUCCUCUCAUAAAUACAUGUCUGCUGAUCUAGUUCCUGUGUCUGUGUUAUCCUCUUGGCAAUGAAACGGUAGAUAAGAGUGCAAACACAAUCUGCAGGUGCAUUAUCUAAUUAAGAUAAAGCCAACAGAUGAAAAGAAGCAUACUAACGUACUCAUUUAGGUUUACUCUGUUCAGAGUUCUGCUCUGUUAAGUUAUGACCAGGAAAACAGAUCAUUUAGAUUAGACGUAUCAGCAAACCUCAGCAGUUCUAAGAACUAGACUGACUGUAAACUGAUAGUGUCAUAUAUUUCUUCUACUCAUUUCCUUUUCACUUUUUCUAGGUUAACAUUAGUUGAGGUAAAACCCACCAAAUGUUCAAUUGAAUUGAUGUCAAGGGACGUGAGCAGACCUUUUAAUGCUUGAUCUAACCACAUUUGUUUUACUUAACAGAAUACAAUUCUUUAGAUUUUCCCUUGGAAUAUUACCUCACUAACCCACACCAUUUUUCCAUUCAUUUUCUUUUACCUACAAUGUUUCUAAUACCCCGCUGUUGAUAUAGAAGUUGAAUCACACACUAGUUUAAGUUAAAGAAGUAAACCGGAUUCAUUUGAUAAUGCACCUUUUUUUCCUGCAUAAUGCCAUCUGUCGACAUUAAGAUUUUUGCCCGAUGAAAACAACGCUAUUAUUUUGAAAGGGCACCACAACAGCAAAAAUAACACAAUGUUUUUAUUUUUCCUCUAUUGGGUUUCUGCUUGGGCAACUUUGGCCUGACAACUUUAGUCUCUUUUGAACAAUUUAUUAAGUCCUUAUAACAUUUUAAUUUUGCUUAACAUAGCAAAAGUGGAUACUUUUGUUACACCUGUUUGCAGAUUGAAAUGUUUGCUGUAAAAAAAGGGAUUUUAUUAAAUGAGUUAUUGAUUUCUGCGACAGCAGAGGUUGAUAACAAAGCAAAUCUAUGAUAUUUGUUCCUAAAUUAUUUUUUUCACAUAACAUUUUAGAUUGCUUUCACUAAAGCAAUCUAAAAAACCAUACGGGCAUGUUCCAAGAUGACAAUGCCAGGAUCCAUCGGGCUCAAAUUGUGAAAGAGUGGUUCAAGGAGCAUGGGACAUAAUUUUCACACAUGGAUUGGCCACCACAGAGUCCAGACCUGAACCCGAUGGAGAAUCUUAGCGAUGUGCUGGAGAAGACUUUGCAUAGUGGUCCGAAUCUCAUCAAUACAAGAUCUUGGCGAAAACUUAAUGCAAGACAGAAAUAAAUGUUGUGACAUUGCAGAAGCUUGUGGAAACGAUGCCACAGCGAAUGUGUGUCGUAAUCAAAGCUAAAGGCGCUCCAACGAAUAUUAGAGUGUGUGACCUUUUCUUUGGCCAGGCAGUUUAUUUGUUUAUAACCGAUGGAAUAAAUUAAGCUAUUAUUUUAGAAAAUGGUCAUUUUCAUUCUUAGUCUGCAUUCUGCUAAAUGUUUUGCAUUUUUCAUUUAAGUGUGUGCCUAAAGUCAAUCAGACUUAACUGGUAAAAAAUACACUUCUUCAUGAAAACAUCCCCUCACAUUGCCAAUUAGCAUUUUCAUCUGCAAUAAUUUUACCUUGCUUGAUGACUUUGUCCCUCUUCUUCUGAUCAAACUCUCGAGGUCCAGGGGGUCUCACGGACUCCAGGGAGAAAGGGCUCUUUUUCCCAAACAGGUACCAGUAUGUGCCACCGGCCCAUAUAACAAGCCACGCUAAGAAGAUCAAUAGCCACAUCAUGGAGACAAUCGAAUCACAGUGUCUGGUAAGAGUGUCUGCAGC